UCCUUCCUUGUCUUGGGGAGCAGAAUGUCCAGUGAACGUAUAGUGAGGGCAUUGAUGCUGACAAACCCAUUACGAAAGGACGCGCGCAUCUUCGGAUGUGCCGUUCCUUGAACCCCCCGUCCGCCGGAUCGCUUUCGAACAGCUGGUUUGUGCGGUCGGAAUUUUUGAAGCG